GGUCAGUCCAUGAGUGGUCCAUAGAAUAGGGUGUGACUCACAACAUGGUUCAUGAGCCACGGCAUGCCAGGUCCACACGUGGUGCAAGAGAAUAGUGUCGUCAGUCUUUAUCGUAGUCCACAGACGAGUGGGCUGAUUUGUGCCAAUCGACGGCUGAGGCUGGUUUUUGCAUAGGAUCAGAUGGCCAAUAGAACUUAGUUCUAUAUACUUCAGUAGUGGCCUACUCCAAAUACAUGAUUCAACGGCUCCAAGCAAUCCUGAGCG
rnacentral:lncRNA from 1 species